ensembl:lncRNA
CCCUAUACAUUCGGCCUAUGGGCACUAGUCAAAAGUAGUGCACUAUAAAGAGAAUAGGGAAGUCAUUUGGGAUGCUGAUUAAGCCUCACAUUGGGGACAGAUUGAUUAAAAAAUGUGUUUAAUACAGUAAUGCACAGUUACUGCACACACACACACACACACACACACACACACACACACACCCUACUCCAGGGAAUUGACAGAUGGCCAUUAGUAGUAAUUGGUAGAACUGACUGAAUGAAGUAAUAGAAUAAGCAGGAUAGACAGGAGACAGGGGGAGAGCAGGAGAGAAAGGAGGUAGGGAGAGAAAGGAGGUAGGGAGAGAGUCUGGAGAGACAGGAGAGAAAGGAGGUAGGGAGAGAGUCUGGGGAGAGA